rnacentral:tRNA from 1 species
CACUAAGAAGCUUUUAUGGUCCUAAGCAUUAGCCUUUUAAGCUAAAUAUAGGUGACUACCGACCACCCUUAGUGA